GACGAACGCUGGCGGCGUGCUUAACACAUGCAAGUCGAACGAUGAAGCCGGAGCUUGCUCUGGUGAAUUAGUGGCGAACGGGUGAGUAACACGUGAGUAACCUGCCCUUGACUCUGGGAUAACUGCGGGAAACUGUAGCUAAUACCGGAUACGACCCUCGGAGGCAUCUCCUGGGGGUGGAAAGAAUUUCGGUCAAGGAUGGACUCGCGGCCUAUCAGCUAGUUGGUGAGGUAAAGGCUCACCAAGGCGACGACGGGUAGCCGGCCUGAGAGGGUGACCGGCCACACUGGGACUGAGACACGGCCCAGACUCCUACGGGAGGCAGCAGUGGGGAAUAUUGCACAAUGGGCGCAAGCCUGAUGCAGCAACGCCGCGUGAGGGACGACGGCCUUCGGGUUGUAAACCUCUUUUAGUAGGGAAGAAGCGAAAGCGACGGUACCUGCAGAAAAAGCACCGGCUAACUACGUGCCAGCCGCCGCUGUAA
rnacentral:rRNA from 1 species